rnacentral:lncRNA from 1 species
AGAGCGGAGGCUCGGGCUGCGGACGGGGCUGCGCGCACUCGCACCGCUGGACGCCGCGGGGCGGGCGGCCGCCGAGCUCUCCCCGCCCGGCCCAGCCCCUCCGCCGCAGCCGCGGGGCAGCCCCGAGCCACGGCCCCGGCUGGCGGGCGGGCUGCGGGCAGGAUCCUGGCGCUCGGGCUCUGGCAAGGGGAAAGGACAGAAACGGCGCAUCGGGAGGGACCCUGCCUCACCGCUUGUAUAUGGCAAAGUUUCUCGCCGAGCUCCUGGGCUGCACGUUGCCGAGCAAGGGCGCCUCUCCCAUGUUUGAGUCUAAAAGUCAUUCCCGAGUUGGCCUGAAAUCAAGCACCAAGCAAAAGACCACCAUUUUCAGCACAUUGGCCAGUGAGAAGUCCUUAUCUGACUGCAAAAAGGAACACCGACUGGCAUUCGACUCUUGACAAAUCCUCAGCGAGUGACUUUUACAUGAGGAAGGGACUAGGG